ACAAGAUAAAACUAUGGCAAAUGCCAAAGGCGAUAUCGACCAUCUUCCCAUAUAUGACCUGGAGGACAAAUUCAAGGACAAUUUCAGCUACCAGAUAAAAAGAUUCGUGGACUAGAAAGGCUCCAAUAGGAAAAUGAGGGAAGUGUUGAAGAAUUUUCUAAAGGCCAUUUCAAAUUCGGGAUCAAUGCAAUGAGGAUGGACUAUAUAUCAUGAAUGGGCACCUGCUGUGCAGUUGGAGCUUUGUUUAACAAGAUGAUGGUCAUGUUACCGUAGUUUCCCACAAAUUCUCCAUCUGACGCUUCAUGAUUGACUCAUGCGAUUCAAAUUCUUGACUAGUGGCCCAAACAUAUACUUGAUGGCGAGUGGCCUAACAGUGUCAUGGCAAACGUAAGCGGCAGUUGCAUAUCUUGCAAUUCUUUGGAUUUGGUGCUAAUGGUUCAUCCAUUCAUCUCGAGCAACACUCA